UUAAAUGGGGGUUUAAAUUAGAGGUCUUUAAAUGACAAAUAGACCAUCAUAUUUUGUUAUGGACAAAACUAGUCAUGGAAGGGUAAAAAUUGAAGGUAUAGUAAAAAGGGCAUUUUUGUCAUUUGGGUGUUUUAAGGCAUAAAAGACAAAAUUGAAACCCAAAAAUCUGCUCAUUCUCUUCUCCAUACUGCCGAAACUUUCAGAAAGCCAUGGCUAGGGUUUCAAGCUUUUUCAAAGUUCAAUUAUCGAAGAAAUCGAGAUUUGGACUAAGUACGGGGAAAUAUAAAUCAAAAUGAUUGAUUCGCGUUGAGUAUCGCCAAGUUAGCUCGGGGAUCAGUGGACGUCGGAGAUUCGCUCACACUAUCAAUUAGAACACUUGGUAUAUCUAGAUACAUAAAUUUUUGGGUUAUGGCAUGUAUAGUAGGUUUGGCCGUUUUGUCAUAUAUGUCAUAUUUCUUAUGGCCAAUAUUGACGGUUGUUAUACGCCUAUGAUAUGGUUAUUCAUGUAUGUGGUAAUUGCAUAAUUGAAUGUUGUGGAGGUGGUUUACAAAUGA